rnacentral:rRNA from 1 species
GCGACCCCAGGAUGGGCGAGGCCACCCGCCGAGUUUGGGCAUAUCNNUGUGCGGAGGAGAAG